rnacentral:rRNA from 1 species
CGCGGCCUAUCAGCUUGUUGGUGGGGUAACGGCCUACCAAGGCAUCGACGGGUAGCUGGUCUGAGAGGACGAUCAGCCACACUGGGACUGAGACACGGCCCAGACUCCUACGGGAGGCAGCAGUGGGAAUAUUGCGCAAUGGGCGAAAGCCUGACGCAGCAACGCCGCGUGGGGGAUGAAGGCUUUCGGGUUGUAAACCCCUUUCAGUGAUGACGAAAAUGACGGUAAUCACAGAAGAAGCCCCGGCCAACUACGUGCCAGCAGCCGCGGUAACACGUAGGGGGCAAGCGUUGUCCGGAUUUAUUGGGCGUAAAGAGCUCGUAGGCGGUUGCGUAAGUCGGAUGUGAAAACUCAGGGCUCAACCCUGAGAUGCCAUUCGAUACUGCGCUGACUAGAGUCCGGUAGAGGAGCAUGGAAUUCCUGGUGUAGCGGUGAAAUGCGCAGAUAUCAGGAGGAACACCAGUAGCGAAGGCGGUGCUCUGGGCCGGUACUGACGCUGUGGAGCGAAAGCAUGGGUAGCAAACAGGAUUAGAUACCCUGGUAGUCCAUGCCGUAAACGUUGGGCACUAGGUGUGGGACCUACUUAACGGGUUCCGUGCCGUAGCUAACGCAUUAAGUGCCCCGCCUGGGGAGUACGG